rnacentral:lncRNA from 1 species
GUUGCAUUUGAUAUAAAUAUAUGCUUCCAAUGUUUCAAGUUUUAAUUUGGUUUUCUCAGUGGUCCACACAUUAAUCACUAAUGAAAAUACUCUUUCAGUGGGGGUGUUAAAAUUGGGAGAUAGAAACCAAAUUCAAACGAUUUUUAAAAUGUUUUUAAUUGCUAUGUGUUUGUUUGUGAAAUGUUUAAAAAUUCUAAUUUGGCUGUACUCAUCAUUUUGUCAGCAUUCUUCAGACUUCUCACAAGUGAUAACAGAAGCAUGACUGUUACAGAAAAUGACAGUGUCAAUUUUCUGGGGCCAUCUGUUAUGCACCAAUAUUCAAUUUAUUAUUUCAAUUCACAAAAUAAAAGACAAAAUGGCUAUUUUAGAAGGAAAAAAAAAAUCUAAAGGACAG